rnacentral:rRNA from 1 species
GAUGAACGCUGGCGGCGUGCCUAAUACAUGCAAGUCGAGCGAACGGACGAGAAGCUUGCUUCUCUGAUGUUAGCGGCGGACGGGUGAGUAAAACGUGGAUAACCUACCUAUAAGACUGGGAUAACUUCGGGAAACCGGAGCUAAUACCGGAUAAUAUUUUGAACCGCAUGGUUCAAAAGUGAAAGACGGUCUUGCUGUCACUUAUAGAUGGAUCCGCGCUGCAUUAGCUAGUUGGUAAGGUAACGGCUUACCAAGGCAACGAUGCAUAGCCGACCUGAGAGGGUGAUCGGCCACACUGGAACUGAGACACGGUCCAGACUCCUACGGGAGGCAGCAGUAGGGAACCUUCCGCAAUGGGCGAAAGCCUGACGGAGCAACGCCGCGUGAGUGAUGAAGGUCUUCGGAUCGUAAAACUCUGUUAUUAGGGAAGAACAUAUGUGUAAGUAACUGUGCACAUCUUGACGGUACCUAAUCAGAAAGCCACGGCUAACUACGUG